rnacentral:rRNA from 1 species
AGGGGCAGAUUAAAAUCCAGGUGGAGCGGUGAUAUGCCUAGAGAUCGGGAGGAACUCCUUAGGUAAAAGCACUCUGCUGGGCCAUAACUGACUCUGACAGACAAAAGCGAGGGGAGCAAAAGGGAUUAUAUCCCCCUGUAGUCCUCGCCGUUAACGACGGAUACUAGAUGUUGGGUAGGUUAAAUCACUCCGCAUCGCAGCUAACGCGUGAAGUAUCCCGCCUGGUGAGUAUGCUCGCUAGAGUGAAACUCA